rnacentral:lncRNA from 1 species
AACUGCAAAUUGCAACACCGAAGCAGUCCAGACAUGUUCAAGGACACACAAAAAAAAAGAGCAGGCAUAACUAUCCGUACCUCCAUGACAAUUGGAAACCAAUCAUGAGAAAGGGAACUGCAUGGUUGGGUCCAUGUAGUUGGCUACCACAUCUGUGGCGAGGACUCCAUUAUUGGAAGGAGGAAAAGCAUCGAAAAUGCUAGGCAUUGUUGGUUCCAAAGGACCUGACAUUGUAGGGACAUCAUAAUGUCCAUUGAAAUGAGCAAGAGGAUACUGCAUAUAUUGACUGUCCUCAGCAGGAAAUUCAGUGGGGAAGCUUGGAUCAGGAGCAAGGAGAUCAGUUAGUUCCAUGUAAUCAUCAGCAGACAGUUCUCUGUCAGGUGGCAGCUGGUAAUCUGUAGUUUCCACAUUGCUGUUGUUAUCCACGCCUCCUAACCCAACAAGCCCUGAUAAUUCAUUGUAGAGGCCAAAAGAGCUGACUUCAAAAGCAUGAGCCUCAGCUUCAGACAUCGGAGGAAGACCAGAGCACUGUGAAAGACAUCAAAGCUAAAUAGUUAGCAUCUGAAAGGAAUUUCUAAUCUAAAUCAGAAACAUAAAAAGAAUUUUCUAAUCUAAGGUGUGCUGCCAAGGAAACUAGUGAAAUAACAAGACUGAUUUAUA